UACGUAGGGUGCGAGCGUUGUCCGGAAUUAUUGGGCGUAAAGGGCUCGUAGGCGGUUUGUCGCGUCGGGAGUGAAAACCAGGUGCUUAACACCUGGCUUGCUUUCGAUACGGGCAGACUAGAGGUAUGCAGGGGAGAACGGAAUUCCUGGUGUAGCGGUGAAAUGCGCAGAUAUCAGGAGGAACACCGGUGGCGAAGGCGGGUCUCUGGGCAAUAACUGACGCUGAGGAGCGAAAGCGUGGGGAGCGAACAGG
rnacentral:rRNA from 1 species